GGAAGUGGGGAUGACGUCAAGUCCUCAUGGCCCUUAUGGGUAGGGCUUCACACGUCAUACAAUGGUCGGUACAGAGGGUUGCCAACCCGCGAGGGGGAGCUAAUCCCACAAAGCCGAUCGUAGUCCGGAUUGUUCUCUGGCAACUCGAGAGCAUGAAGUCGGAAUCGCUAGUAAUCGCAGGUCAGCAUACUGCGGUGAAUACGUUCCCGGGUCUU
rnacentral:rRNA from 1 species